AUGGCUGAUGAUGAAAGUUUUACUAUGAAAUUCAAUAGAUGUCUUGAGUGUGAUUCCAACUGUUCAGAUGAUAUGUGCGAUAGCAAUAAAACUUUUACCUGUUACCAGUGCGAGGAUGGAUUUUUUUGCCAAAAAGAUGAGCCUUGCAAGAAGAAAGCCAAGGACCCUUGCAAAAAACAGGACAGCUGUCGAGAUAAUAGUGACCAAGAUGAAUGCGGCGGCAACUCGUGCCCAUCCAAGGGCCGCCGCUGCAGUGCUAAUGCUGACAUGAAGAUCGUUCAGAUCAAUAACCCAACAGCACAGCGGAAAUGCUUGCUCUCCAGCUGCGGCAAAAAAGUCGCCAAAUGCAAGUUCCAAGAGCAUGUCUGCACAUGCCAUCCUAAUUGCAAAAUUCUCAAUGAGGACACCUCAUUUCACAUCUGCACAGACAGCCCGAAACGCCGCACUGUUCUCAUCAUUGCUCAUUCGGAGCUUUUCUGGUUCCACGUUUACAAUGACAAGUCCAAACAAACAAUAUUUGCAGUGGUGCAGUGUCUUGAGAACAAAUGCGAGGCAGACAAGUACACUUACACGAUAAAGAUGGACUCAUGCACUGUUCAGUUGUGCUUCUCGCAGACGACGAUUCCUUGUGAUGAGGAUUUCAAUGAAGUUCUCAGCGCAGGAAAUUGCUUCUCUGUACCCUACUGCUUGGUUCAGAGCUUCUCACAAGGAAAACAGUACCGUAACGGACGCCUUGUCAUUUGCAAACGGGAAGAAGAUUCUUACUAACAAAUUUUAUUAUUUUUGCAGAAUGUUGUUCAGUUACUCGCUCUAAUUUUUAUCUUUUUUUAGCCCACCACAUGCCUCCAAAAAAUGAAAGGUCUUUAAAAUUUACAAAACUUUUUUCCUGCAGAACACUUUUAAUCUAUUUAAAAAUUCAUCAAAUUUAUUAAGAGAAUUCCCAUCAAUCUUUUCAGAUAAGUUACUCGCAAGCAAUCAUCAAAAACUUUUUUCAAUAGAUUGUGCACCAAAGAUUUUUUUUUUGCUUUUUUCUUCCUACCCGUGAUGAAAAAAAUGAAAAAUUUCAGUACUUGACCAAUUUGUUACAUUUUUUUCCUGAAUAAAAAUACCUUCGUCAAAUUCUUAUUGCUUAAAUUUGCAUCUUACCUAAUGGUUCAAUAAUUGCCACAAUUUUUUCUGAAUACUAAGUACUUGAAAGAUCUCAGAGGAAUGCAUUGAACACUUUUUGUAUUGAUGCAUUAUCGAAACAGACAAACAAAAUUCAAUUUCUUAAAAAAAAGUAUUUACUUGCAGAACAUUUUAUCAAAUAACAAUAUUGUGGGUAACUACAGAACUAUACAAGAGGUCGUGAGAACAACUAACGGUGUUUUUAUUGCUAAAACAUGAGAUACAAGUGAACAAACUUUGUUCUGAGAUGUGCGAAGACAGAUCACUCUUUAAUUAUUCAUUGAAUUAAAAUUGCUUCAUGAACUGAAUUACGAAAAAGACUUCGACUAAUCUUUUUUCGUAAAAGUAUAAACUUAGAGGCCAUAAUACUAGACAGAACUGCACAAGAAACCAAAUACACUGCGAGACUAUUAACUCUGUAAUGAAUAUGCUUUGCCUAUGGGAUCAAAAAUCGUUGCAAUAGAACACAAUAACGCCUUGCCUCCACAGGAUUUUUCCCAAGUUCGAGUCGCAGGAAUGAAAAUUCUGGGCUUUUUUCCUGUGAAACAACACAACAAAAUUUUUUCUUCUUCCUUUUAAAUCGUUCCUGGUACUCAACAAGAACUCUCAGUUGGUACUGUGAUUAGUAUUGACUAACUCAAUAUUUUUCUCAACUUCCCUGAGUGAGAUUUUCCCUGGGACAACAAAUCCCAUGAAACGUCCCGUGGAGACAAGGCCUAAAGUAUUCAAAUAAUAAAACGAAUUCAUUCUAGUUAUUGUAGUGGGACAGGUGUUGAAGAGGUCUGUUGAAAAGAGAAAUUUACACUGAUCUGAUAACACUAUUUAUGGAAACUUAAAAUUGUUAUUGAUUUCAAUGGCAUAGCUCGAUGAACUGACCGACCCAUUGUUGAACACACAAAGUGCUAUUGUUGAGCCUAGUAAUGCUAAAGAAGAAGGGCUACGGGUACUGUACAUUAAAAGGACAGAACAAUUAUGAAAUUCUCACCACACAAAACGACUUAUACUGCAAAUUUAAGACACUGUACCUUGUAAAUUGUAAGUUUACAUGCCUAUUCCCAAAAAUAAAAAAAAUAUAAAAAAAGGGGGCAUCACUUUACAUAGGUGGUGGUCUGUCCAAUCUUGGUUUUGUUCAACAAUUUAUUCUUUGCUUUUUCUUCGUAAAAGAAAGCAUGUUUUGUGCUGAUAAAAAAAUAAAGAGGACGAGUAGAUUCAAAAAUUAAAUAUUUGGAUGAAAUAAUGAUGAACUCAGAGUUUACCUUGAUUUUUAAAGUAUUUCGUGAAAGAUAAGGAGACUUCAGUCACAUAGUAACAGGAUCGAAUUCGAAGAAAAUUCUGGUAUGAGUCCCUCUGCUGAUUCAUGUCACAUGUUUUUACUGCCUUUUUUGUUUUCUUCGUAAGCAAUAACAUAUCGCUGACAAACAUUCAGUGGAGCAGCAUAUCCACCCGGAUAUGAGGAGUCUUCAAAUAACACUUCGUACGGUUCAUGUGGAGUUGAGGGUAUCUGGUUGAUGAUAGCUUUGUAGAAAGCAGUUGUUUGCGGAUAAAGUGCCAUGACUGAAAAGAAGAAACAAUACAUGGUGUCUUGAAAGUAAAAUCGUGUCGCUGCAGGAGCUAAUUCUACAGACUACAGAAAGAUUUUUUAGUGUAUUUUCCGAAGAAAAUACACUAUUGCAUUAUCCCAUGGUGUCGGACCCAGGCUUGAUACAUUGGGAAGAGCACCGAUCACGGGUUGUAGAUCACGAAAAUAUAUACCAUUCAAAUUCAUGUGUAUGUAGUUAUGUAGUAGUGUAGUUAUUGUAGUUAUGUAGUUAUUGCAUUAUGUAGUUAUGUAGUUAUGUAGUAUGUAGUAGUAUGAGUUUGUCUACGCUGUCAAAGUGUGUUUGGAGAACACAUUUUUCCAAUAUCAGGAUUCGUUCUACC
rnacentral:lncRNA from 1 species